rnacentral:miRNA from 5 species
CCUCUAGAUGGAAGCACUGUCU